rnacentral:rRNA from 1 species
GUGUCAGCCGCCGCGGUAAUACGUAGGGUGCGAGCGUUAAUCGGAAUUACUGGGCGUAAAGCGUGCGCAGGCGGUUGUGUAAGACAGGCGUGAAAUCCCCGGGCUCAACCUGGGAAUGGCGCUUGUGACUGCACGGCUGGAGUGCGGCAGAGGGGGAUGGAGUUCCGCGUGUAGCAGUGAAAUGCGUAGAUAUGCGGAGGAACACCGAUGGCGAAGGCAAUCCCCUGGGCCUGCACUGACGCUCAUGUACGAAAGCGUGGGGAGCAAACAGGAUUAGAUACCCCCGUAGUCC